ACCUUGCGGGGGGGGCGCCGCCGCUCUUCCUCCCGCAGGGGGGAGGGGGAGGAGGAGGAGGAGGAGGAGGAGGAGCCCCCCCGCUUCCUCUUCCUCUUCCCCCCUCCCCCCUCCCCUUCUUUUGCCCGUUUCCCCUGUUUCUCCACCCAUUUCCGCAGGGGGAGGUCGUCGUCCUCGGCCUCCGAGUCGCUGGAGGCCUUCGCGGGGGGGGGCUCUUCCUCCUCCUCCUCCUCCUCUUCCUCCUCCUCCUCCUCUUCCUCGCUCUCCAUUUUCCUUCUUUUCCGCCCAUUUCUCGCAGCCCGUUUGUUCUCGCUCUCGUUCCCCUUUUUGCCUUUUUUCUCCUCGUUUUUGGGGGGCGGCUUCUUUCUCUUUUCCUCCUCCUCCUCCUCUUCCUCCUCCUCUUCCUCCUCCUCUUCCUCCUCCUCUUCCUCACUCUCCAUUUUUCCUCUUUUCCGCCCAUUUUUCACAGCCUGUUUUUUCUCACCCUCACUCCUCUUUUUGCCUUUUUUCUCCUCAGUUUUGGGGGGCGGCUUCUUCUUCUUCUCCUUCUCUUCCUCCUCCUCCUCCUCCUGCUCUUCCUCCUCCUCUUCCUCAUCAUCUUCCUCGCUCUCCGUUUCGACCUUUUUCUGCCCAUUUUUCACAGCCCGUUUUUUCUCGCUCUCGUUCCUCUUUUUGCCUUUUUUCUCCUCAUUUUUGGGGGGCGGCUUCUUCCUCUUUUCCUUCUCUUCCUCCUCAUCUUCCUCUUCCUUCUGCUCUUCCUUAUCCUCUUCCUCCUCAUCUUCCUCCUCUUCCUCACUUUCCAUUUUUCCUCUUUUCCGCCCAUUUUUCACAGCCCGUUUGUUCUCGCUCUCGUUCCUCUUUUUGUCCUUUUUCUCCUCAGUUUUGGGGGGCGGUUUCUUCCUCUUCUUUUCCUUUUCUUCCUCCUCCUCCUCCUCUUCCUCUUCUUCAUCAUCUUCUUCGUCUUCGUCACUCUCCAUUUUUACCCUUUUCCGCCCAUUUCUCACAGCCUGUUUCUUCUCGCUCUCGUUCCUCUUUUUGCCUUUUUUCUCCUCAUUUUUGGGGGGCGGCUUCUUCUUCCUCUUCUGCUCUUCCUCUUCCUCUUCUUCAUCAUCUUCCUCCUCUUCCUCACUCUCCGUUUCUACCCUUUUCCCCCCAUUUCUCACUGCCUGUUUUUUCUCCCUCUCACUCCUCUUUUUGCCUUUUUCCUCCUCAUUUUUGGGGGGCGGUUUUUUCCUCUCCUCUUCCUCCUCCUCCUCCUCUUCCUCAUCAUCUUCCUCACUCUCCAUUUUUACCCUUUUCCACCCAUUUUUCACGUGCUGUUUCUUCUCACUCUCACUCGCCAUUUUGCCCGUUUUCACCCCAUUUUUGGGGGGCGGCUUCUUCCUCUUUUCUUCCUCUUCCUCCUCCUCUUCCUCACUCUCCGUUUCGACCCUUUUCCGCCCAUUUUUCACAGUCUGUUUUUUCCCGCUCUCACUCCUCUUUUUCUCUUUUUUCUCCUCAUUCUUGGGGGGCGGUUUCUUCCUCUCCUCUUCCUCUUCCUCCUCCUCCUCCUCCUCUUCUUCAUCCUCCUCGUCUUCCUCCUCCUCUUCCUCACUCUCUAUUUUUACCCUUUUCGCCCCAUUUCUCACAGCCUGGUUUUUCUCACUCUCACUCGUCUUUUUGCCCGUUUUCACCCCAUUUUUGAGGGGCGGCUUCUUCCUCUUUUCUUCCUCUUCCUCCUCCUCUUCCUCCUCCUCUUCUUCCUCCUCUUCCUCGCUCUCCAUUUUCACCCUUUUCUGCCCAUUUUUCACAGGCUGGUUUUUUUCACUCUCGGUCCUCUUUUUGCCCGUUUUCUCCUCAUUUUCAGGGGUCACCUCCUCCUCUUCCUCCUCCUCUUCCUCUUCCUCCUCCUCCUCCUCCUCCUCGCUCCCCUUUUCCCCCUUUUUCCCCCCAUUUCGCAGGGGCGGGGCCUCCCCUCCCCCUUCCUCCUCCCCCUCGCUCCCCAUUUCGCCUCUUUUCACCCCAAUUCCAGGGGGCGGGGCCUCCCCUUCCCCCCCGUUCCCCAUUUCCCCCUUUUCUGCCCCAAAUCCCGGCGUCGGGGCCUCCAUUUCGGGCUCCGUUUCCCCCCUUUUUCGCCCCAAAAAACGCGGGGAGGGCGGGACUUCCGCCUCGCCCCCGCCUCUUCCGGGUUAGUGAGGUCACGUGGGGGGGUCUCGCUAUCCCACAAUCCCCCGCGCUCCCCGCCGCCCGCCGGCGGCCGCCAUUUUGUC
rnacentral:lncRNA from 1 species